rnacentral:rRNA from 1 species
CGGGUGAGUAACACGUGGGCAACCUGCCCAAAAGAGGGGGAUAACACUUGGAAACAGGUGCUAAUACCGCAUAACCAUAGUUACCGCAUGGUAGCUAUGUAAAAGGUGGCUAUGCUACCGCUUUUGGAUGGGCCCGCGGCGCAUUAGCUAGUUGGUGGGGUAAAGGCUUACCAAGGCAAUGAUGCGUAGCCGAACUGAGAGGUUGAUCGGCCACAUUGGGACUGAGACACGGCCCAAACUCCUACGGGAGGCAGCAG